rnacentral:lncRNA from 1 species
GUGAUUAACAAUUUACUUUUAACUAUACUAUAAAUAGUUUGUAUUACCCUAGGUUUUGGGUUAAUCAUUUUUUCAAUGAAAUUUUUUUGAGCUGUAGAUGAGUUGUGUUUCUGAGAUGGUAUCAGUUGAUUAAAGAAAUUUUCGUUUACAAUUUGUUUUCUUUCAUCGGCAAUCACCUGCGCUUCUUUCUUCUCGUGAUCGUCCGCUCACCGUCGUUACCUUCCGAUCUAGAUCUGCUAGGCUCUAUCUCGCUGGGAUCUGGGAUUUCCGUUAGAAACGUCGUUGGUUAGGGAUCUAUUCUCGUGAUCUAUUCUCUGGAUCGAUUGUUUACGCUCGCGAUUAAGAUCUGCAUUUUCUCGCAGAAAUUGGUUGUGAUUUGUGCGAUUUUUUUUGCGAUUUUUUUCCUGCGCUGCUCGUGAUCUGCGAUUUGGAUCAGAUUUUGGCUCUGACAUUGUUCAGAUUCGUGAUUUGACAUUGCUCAGAUUUAUUUAUUUUUUUAAUUCAAAAAGGCUAUUUUUUUUCCCUUCCUCUUUGUGAUUUGCAGAUUGGUGAUCAAAUUCUUGCAUGGUUUUUCCCCCUCUCUUCUUGUGUGAUUCUUGAACUGUCAAAGACUUGAUUGAAAUUUCUUGGAUUGGCAGUAACAAGAAUAAUUGAUUUGUGAAUUUCACAUACCAAUUUGGUUUAUUUGAGUUGCUAUUUGAUUUACAAAUUUCAGUAUACAUACAUGAUUGAUUUUUUUUCUUCUUUUCUCUCAUCUUUUGUAAUUUUGGUUAUAUUAAUUUGUGAUUUUGGUGCUUGUGAUUGGUGGCCUGUUUUUGAUAAUUGGGCAAUGGCAGCAAACAAUCCCAAUGAUAGGACGACUCCUCUCCUUCCUAAUGCUUUACAUAAAUGUCAGGUCUCACAAUGGAUUAGGACUUUCUUGGAUAGAGCUGCAACGUAUCUCUUAUGGAGAAGUCAAAUGAUUAAUUUAUUUCGUUUAAAACAUGUAUAUGAUAUUGUCAAUAAAAAACAGGAAAUGCCACAUGGUUCACCAAAUCAGGCGCAUCAAAUCUGGUUAGAGAAAAAUUGGACAGUUCUUGGUUGGAUUCAAGCGACGGUUGGACCUGAUAAGAGUUUAGAUUGAAGCCAGCGCGGAUCUUGGAGCACAGACGUGAUGAAGGAUCGAGGAUCGUAGUAGGGUUUUGAGAAAUCCUAGCGGCGGAGAUUGAGAGAGGGCAGAAGUCGAGAGCAAGUUGCAGCGCAAAAAGUUGUUUUCAUUAAUAAUAAAAAACCUAUUUAUACAAUAUACUAAUGGGCCAAUAAGUAUUGGGUCUGACUAAAUUAACACUAAACAUAAUACUAAGAUGAUGUUAAUUAGAUGAGUUUAACACCCCCCCUCAAGUUGGAGAGUGGAUAUCAUGCAUUCCCAAAUUAGGCAGUAGUCUUCUUAUUGUUUCAAGUGUGGCUGGUUUUGUCAAGAUGUCAGCUAAUUGCAUGUUUGAGGAAACACGUGUUAAAUCAAAUAAUCCUGUCAGAAAAUGAUCUUUAACCAAAUGACAAUCGAUUUCAAUGUGUUUUGUUCUUUCAUAGAACACAGGGUUAGAGGCAAUGUUUAUUGCAGCCUUGUUAUCACAUCUGAGAAUAGGUUUUGAUUUAAAGAAAUUUGUAAAUCUUUCAAAAAAUAAGUGAGCCA